ensembl:lncRNA
CUCCUCCGAGUCGGCAGCAAGAGGGUUCUACCAUCAGGGUGGCCUGUUCAGUGGCAUCCCCUUGUCCCCAGAGUCCCCCCACCUUAACCUGGAGGCCAGCGUUGGGUGACAGCGUGGUGACGAUGCAGAAGAAAGAAGACGGAACGCAGGAAGUGUCGUCUGUCCUGAGCUUCAUCUCUUCCUCGGUGCACAACGGCGUCGACCUCAGCUGCGUUGUGUCCAGUUCAGAAACGCGAGCCGCCGUGCAGGAGACCAUCAGACUCGCUGUGGACUGUGAGUGUGUUUCAUUUCCUCUGUCAAUCACACCCAUCUCUAUACUUCUUGUCACUUGUCUUCUCAUUUCUCACCAUCUUGGUCCCUCAGAUUGUCCAAAGAACGUGUCCGUGUCGGUGACUCCAGCAGAGUGGCUGCUGGGCAGUGAUGUCACUCUGUCCUGCUUUAGUGACGCCCACCCUGCUGUGGAAAGUUACUGGUGGUUCUGGGAGAACGGGAACCAUCCUGAGCUGGUGGGUCAGGCAGCAGACCUCAGUCUCAACUUGACCCUCAGAACCAUGGGCAGAUAUUGGUGUCGAGUGCAGAAUAGACUCGGAGAAGCCAGCUCUACUGUGGUGGAGCUGAGGAUCCCAGGUUCAGAUUUUCUGAGGUGGAUGCUUGCUGGAGGCUUGUCUCUUCUGUUAGCAUCUUCCUUAGGUGGCUGCAUGAUUUACUGGUGCAGGAGAGCCAACCGUCAUCGCAGGACGAU